UUAUUGAUGGUUCAGUGGUAGAAUGCUCGCUUACCACGCGGGCGGCCCGGGUUCGAUUCCCGGUCGAUGCA
rfam:Daphnia pulex DAPPTscaffold_301_Cont8502, whole genome shotgun sequence.